GAAGGAGGGAGAGAGGGAGGAAGGAAGGAAGGAAGGAAGGAAAAAAGGGAAAAAAUGACCAGCAUCUUCAACUGGUUAGAACACAACUUGCAUAAAGGGUUUAUAACUGAAUAUUUCCACAAACUACCCUGAAGUCUUCAUAAUGGCUUUCAAAUGCUCAGUUUCAGAAA